rnacentral:rRNA from 1 species
ACGGUCCUAAGGUAGCGAAAUUCCUUGUCGGGUAAGUUCCGACCUGCACGAAUGGCAUAACGAUGGCCACACUGUCUCCUCCCGAGACUCAGUGAAGUUGAAAUGUUUGUGAUGAUGCAAUCUACCCGCGGCUAGACGGAAAGACCCCAUGAACCUUUACUGCAGCUUUGCAUUGAACUGUGAACCGAUUUGUGUAGGAUAGGUGGGAGGCAGAGAAGAGUCCACGCCAGUGGUCUUGGAGCCGACCUUGAAAUACCACCCUGAUUUGUUUGCGGUUCUAACCACGGACAGUGAUCCUGUCUUGGGACCGUGCAUGGUAGGCAGUUUGACUGGGGCGGUCUCCUCCUAAAGGGUAACGGAGGAGUACGAAGGUACGCUAGGUACGGUCGGAAAUCGUGCUGAUAGUGCAAUGGCAAAAGCGUGCUUGACUGCGAGAGCAACAACUCGAGCAGAUGCGAAAGCAGGUCAUAGUGAUCCGGUGGCUCUGAAUGGAAGGGCCAUCGCUCAACGGAUAAAAGGUACUCUGGGGAUAACAGGCUGAUACCGCCCAAGAGUUCAUAUCGACGGCGGUGUUUGGCACCUCGAUGUCGGCUCAUCACAUCCUGGGGCUGAAGUAGGUCCCAAGGGUAUGGCUGUUCGCCAUUUAAAGUGGUACGCGAGCUGGGUUCAGAACGUCGUGAGACAGUUCGGUCCCUAUCUGCCGUGGGCGCUGGAGAACUGAGGGGGGCUGCUCCUAGUACGAGAGGACCGGAGUGGACGCAUCACUGGUGUUCGGGUUGUCAUGCCAAUGGCACUGCCCGGUAGCUAAAUGCGGAAGAGAUAAGUGCUGAAAGCAUCUAAGCACGAAACUUGCCCCGAGAUGAGUUCUCCCUGACCCUUUAAGGGUCCUGAAGGAACGUUGAAGACGACGACGUUGAUAGGCCGGGUGUGUAAGCGCAGCGAUGCGUUGAGCUAACCGGUACUAAUGAACCGUGAGGCUUAACCUU